rnacentral:ncRNA from 1 species
AUAAAGGCGUUGAAGAAGAGUAAUAGGUAAUUUAGGUUUCUAGAGAGGAGUAUCCUAAGGCUGGAAGAUGCUCUAAGCUGUAAAUUACUGAAGUAGCUUCUGAGCUGCUGGGUUGAACAAAUUAAGUAGGUCCAGUCGGUAGCUAGCCGUUAUCUAGUCUGAGCGUCUAAAGCUUUUGGUUUUAGAAAUUAAGGUGGUACCACGGAAGUAAGAUCUUCUUUCGUCCUUGUG